CAACGUUUCAGUUGGCCUCCGGUCGUCGCGUGUGAAUUGUGUCUUCCGUCCGGGUCGUACUCUUGCCACUUGCGUUGAUACUGAUAUUUUAAAAACACGUUUUUCCGUUGUAUUUUUUAUUUUGAUUGUCUUUUCUCUUACAAAAGUUUCACUUGCCUAUAUUGGAUUCGAUAAACCCCCGUCGUCGUUAACGAGUAGUGAAAUAAAAUGAUAGUGUAUGACAUACUAUAUUAUACUGUCUAGGUAAACACAGUUGCAAAAUAUCGUGCCGCCUUCGGAUUGUUUAUUUUUAAACUUCAGUCGUCCGACGGUAUCUUGUGAGUGUGUACCACGUGUUGUAAAUCUUGUCUCACGUCUCGUUUGCGUACAAUCUUCUUUUUUUUCACGACGCCUUCUGGUUAACGAAUGUGCAGUGACUUAACGACAGCUUGAAAACAAACAUUAAGCUAGUAUUUAAUUAAAAUACAAAUUGAGAAUUGUUGAAGAAACCUGAACAAAGAAGUGGGAAAUGGCCGCAACGGCGGCUGCAGCGACCACGAGAGCGGCGGCGGCGGCAGCGGACACGGUUCCACGGAGUGUACGUCACUCGCGGCGAAAACCAGUGGAACGUUUGCUGCGGCCGUCGCCAUUGGCGGACGUGUCGAACGACACCGGUACGGCUUUAUUGCGGGAAGAUCACCGACAAAACCGCAGCUCGCCGGUGUGGUGAAACCGACCGCGGCCGUUAUGGCGUGAUGGUCUACCGCGGCGAACACGAGAAACCCG